rnacentral:rRNA from 1 species
GCAUAUCAAUAAGCGGAGGAAAAGAAACCAACAGGGAUUGCCCCCAGUAACGGCGAGUGAAGCGGCAAGAGCUCAAAAUUUGAAAGCUGGCUCCUUCGGGGUCCGCAUUGUAAUUUGUAGAGGAUGCUUCGGGAGCGGUCCCCAUCUAAGUGCCCUGGAACGGGACGUCAUAGAGGGUGAGAAUCCCGUAUGGGAUGGGGUGUCCGCGCCCGUGUGAAGCUCCUUCGACGAGUCGAGUUGUUUGGGAAUGCAGCUCUAAAUGGGUGGUAAAUUUCAUCUAAAGCUAAAUAUUGGCCGGAGACCGAUAGCGCACAAGUAGAGUGAUCGAAAGAUGAAAAGCACUUUGAAAAGAGAGUUAAAAAGCACGUGAAAUUGUUGAAAGGGAAGCGCUUGCGACCAGACUCGCUCGCGGGGUUCAGCCGGCAUUCGUGCCGGUGUACUUCCCCGCGGGCGGGCCAGCGUCGGUUUGGGCGGUCGGUCAAAGGCCCUCGGAAGGUAACGCCCCUAGGGGCGUCUUAUAGCCGAGGGUGCAAUGCGACCUGCCUAGACCGAGGAACGCGCUUCGGCUCGGACGCUGGCAUAAUGGUCGUAAACGACCCGUCUUGAAACACGGACCAAGGAGUCUAACAUCUACGCGAGUGUUCGGGUGUCAAACCCGUGCGCGAAGUGAAAGCGAACGGAGGUGGGAACCCUCACGGGUGCACCAUCGACCGAUCCUGAAGUCUUCGGAUGGAUUUGAGUAAGAGCGUAGCUGUUGGGACCCGAAAGAUGGUGAACUAUGCCUGAAUAGGGCGAAGCCAGAGGAAACUCUGGUGGAGGCUCGUAGCGGUUACUGACGUGCAAAUCGAUCGUCGAAUUUUGGGUAUAGGGGCGAAAGACUAAUCGAACCAUCUGGUAGCUGGUUCCUGCCGA